ACUUUUGCUUUUAAUACAGUUAACUUAAUUAUAAACUUAUCUAAUUUGUUGUUAAAGAACAGCUACAUUUAAAAACCAGCUCACAACAUUACUGAACAUUUAACCAUCAGCUCUUGCAAGCAAGUGGGAACCAGUGCAAAUGGGCUCUAGCAAGCCCCGGGACAAAAGCAAUGUCUGGAAUUACUGUAGAUUCUCCUAAAGGGAAGAUGGUAAGGAAAUCGAAGGCAGGGAUCCUGCCUUUUCAUUUCUGUAUCUCCGGCACUUAGCAUUAGGUUGUUGAAUGGUCAACGUAAAUCAUUAAUGCAAAUUAAAAAAAAUUAGCCCUGACUGUAUUCUGGGCACUAUUCUAGGAGCUUGGGAGUGGGGGUGGGGGUGGGUAUGGCAGUAAAAACCAAGCACCUGUCUGUAGAGAGUUUACAUUCGUGUGUGUGUGUAAUGACAAAUGUCUGUCAUAUAAGACAAAUGUCUGUCAUAUAAGGCGGCGGGAAGUAGGGUUAAAACUUCUGUAGUGCAAAGGAGAAAAGGAGUGAGAAUUGCUUUUCCUAAGAGUUGUGAGACGUAUGAAGGUUGAAUGCAAUGUCCUGGAAUUUGGGAAACUGAAGCACAGACUCGGCGCAAAUCUCACCAUUUCAACAGGACUGGGACACAGGGUAACUUAGGACAUUUUUUCUUUCGAGACCCCCACGCAGUGGCCCUUCCCUUUCCUCACUCACCAGUGCAAAGUCCUUCAAGUCCGGCUCAGAAAGCCCAAGGAUUAACCUGACCAAUCAGAGGCAGCGAGGCGGGGCUAAUGUUCAGCACCCGCGGGAGCCCGCCGCGCAUGCUCCAAUUCACCAGUUUCGGGUCCACUUUCUGGGGCACUUUGCGCAGGUGCGAGAACGAGACGCAGAAGUUUGGCCCUAGGCGUUGCCGUACCGUCCGGGCGGCGAGUGCCGUCCUGGUUUUAGUGGGUGUUCGUCCCGGUGUCAACUGUUCUAACGCCACCGUUGCUACCGCCAAUAUGAACCCGGAGAGUUUCGCGGCCGGUGAGAGGCUGGUGUCGCCGGCCUACGUGCGGCAGGGCUGUGAGGCCCGCCGCACGCACGAGCACCUCAUCCGGCUGCUUCUGGAGCAGGGCAAAUGUCCAGAGGAUGGUUGGGAUGAAAGUACACUCGAACUCUUUCUACAUGAACUGGCGAUCAUGGACAGCAACAAUUUCCUGGGCAACUGUGGUGUGGGAGAACGGGAAGGGAGAGUGGCUUCGGCGUUAGUUGCUCGGCGUCAUUACAGGUUCAUUCAUGGAAUUGGACGAUCGGGUGAUAUUUCUGCUGUGCAACCAAAAGCUGCAGGUUCUAGCCUUUUGAACAAAAUUGCCAAUUCUUUGGUCCUGGACAUCAUAAAGAUGGCUGGUGUCCAUACAGUGACCAAUUGCUUUGUAGUGCCUAUGGCAACUGGUAUGAGUCUAACUCUGUGUUUCUUGACAUUACGACACAAAAGACCAAAGGCAAAGUAUAUUAUAUGGCCACGAAUAGACCAGAAGUCCUGCUUUAAAUCCAUGAUCACUGCAGGUUUUGAGCCUGUGGUGAUAGAGAACGUUUUAGAAGGCGAUGAGCUGCGCACAGACCUGAAAGCAGUAGAAGCUAAAAUCCAGGAACUUGGGUCUGAUAACGUGCUUUGUGUUCAUUCUACUACAUCCUGUUUUGCUCCAAGGGUACCUGACAGAUUAGAAGAACUGGCUGUGAUUUGUGCUUCUUAUGGCGUUCCACAUAUAGUCAACAAUGCUUAUGGAUUGCAGUCUUCAAAGUGUAUGCACCUCAUUCAGCAGGGGGCUCGGGUUGGUAGAAUAGACGCUUUCGUUCAGAGCUUGGACAAAAAUUUUAUGGUUCCAGUAGGUGGCGCUAUAAUUGCUGGCUUUAAUGAUUCCUUCAUUCAGGAAAUCAGCAAGAUGUAUCCAGGAAGAGCUUCAGCUUCACCUUCUUUAGAUGUCCUUAUUACUUUAUUAUCACUUGGAUCAAAUGGCUAUAAGAAGCUAUUAAAAGAAAGAAAGGAAAUGUUUUCAUAUUUGUCUAUCCAACUGAAGAAGCUGGCCGAAGCCUACGAUGAAAGACUGCUGCAUACACCUCACAACCCCAUAUCUUUAGCUAUGACACUUAAGACACUAGAUGAGCACCGUGACAAAGCUGUCACUCAGCUUGGCUCAAUGCUUUUUACCAGACAGGUUUCUGGAGCCAGAGUUGUGCCUCUCGGGGCUGUGCAAACUGUGAGUGGCUACACUUUCCGAGGCUUCAUGUCACAUACAAAUGAUUACCCUUGUGCCUACCUCAAUGCUGCGUCAGCCAUCGGAAUGAAGACACAGGAUGUGGACUUGUUCAUAAAGAGACUGGACAAGUGCUUCAAGAUUGUAAGAAAAGAACAAAAUAGAGAGAGUGAUGGAUCUGGAGUUGACAAUGACCAAACUGAAGAUGUGGUUAUUGAAGAAAUGGGUUUAAAACUAGAGAAUGUAUCUCUUGACAAGUUUGAGAAUUCUUCUUCAUGACAUGUGAAGGGUUUCUUUUUGAUAAUUUGAAAGAAAUGAUGAGGUGACAGUAUAAGCACGCAGUUUAAAGACAAGUCUUGAAAUUUUUGAAUUGAGAAUGUCAUGGAGAAUGUUUGGUCAAGGAAUAGAAUAUGGCCUGAUUUAGCCAUUGAUGAUUGUUAUAUUUUUUAUUCUUAGAUAGCCUCAAGCAUUAUGAUCCUUAAUGGAUUAUAAUACACAAUUAGCAUUUUUCUAAUUGUGAAAAUAUUUGUCAGUUAAGCAUUAUGAUUCAGAUAAUUUUUACUAAUCUAAGAGCAGUAAAAUUACCACAAUACUUUUUGAAAUGUGUAGACUGUUUCUUCCUAACUAUUCUCUACCAUUCACAAAUUACUUUUGUUUCUGAUCACACAGAAUUUAGAAAGGUCUCUAAUGCUACUAAUUUCUAGAUAUUUGUGGAUGUAUGCAAGUCACAGUGUACCUGUAAAAUGGACACUUCCCAGAGGCGCGUAGUCAAGGGAUUACAACAGUGGUGAGAUCCUAUCCAGAGCCCAACUGGAAGACGGGACAACCCAACCCAUGUCAGGAACAUCAGAUUGAACUUGUAUGCGAAAUCCUUCCCCAAAUAAUGAAACCUGAACACCCCAGAAGCCAUGGGCAAGCAAACAUCAGUCUGAGGAUUCCUUCGCCUCAUCUUCAUUGCACUGCGGAGCAUCUCCAGAUAGCAGUGCAGUUGCUGGAUCAGUGGAGUUAGCCUUGGAGCAACAAGAACUUGCUGGGAGAAAUCAGAUCUUCCAAACUGAACAUGCUUGGCAACAGUUGGGUAAGACUACAGCAUUGAGUACUGACAGUGUAGCAUCAACAAUGGCACAGAAAAUACUGUCAGUUUUUGGACAUACUGAGGAGCACAAAUCACCAGGCUCAAGAUGCAAAGAAGAAGCUUCUGACAGACCAAUAAGCUGUUAUCCCUGAGUAACCUGUUACAAGAUAAGUCUGGCAAGGUCCUACCAAUGCAGGCUUUUCGAAGGUACAGUAGGUGAUAGCUCCUUGAAUCCUAGAAUUAGCAUGAUCAUAGUAGUGCUGAGCACUAGUAAUAGUGGCAAGUGAAAAACCAGACAACAAAUUCUCUUGGGUAGCGCCACACAGAUCUUCAAUAACUCUCUCUGAAUACCUAGCAUCACCGUUUGUGUGAAUAAUUAUCUACAAACAUGGCAGAGGUCUAGAACGACCUCAGAGGGAGUGUCCUGAGAGAGAACAAGUACUUUGGAUACAAACACUGCUAUAUAUGCCUUCAGGAGUACAGACAAGUGCCAGUUGGGGCUUGUGAGCAAAGACCUCACGUUAUGAUGAGCUUGACAAGGAGAGGUUUGGCAAAAUUCUAUGGUUUUCUUUACCUCAGUGAUUGUUGUCCUGAUUGUGCCUAGAGGCUUCAGCAUUCUUAGUAAGGAGUCCACGUCAGGCGCUUGCACCUCUUGACUAUCAACCCUGGUAAUGUUUAGCCGCCUCAUUAGCCGGGUGGCAUCAGGACUUAUCAUCGAAAUCUUACAAAAAGUAACUUAGAAAUGAGCACCUCCCUGAGUGAUAUGUCUGGCUAAGCUAUAACAGGAGUCAACUUGAGCUUAAAUGCUAGAUGGAAGGUCUCAUUGACAUCAAGCAGAUUAUAAAUGGCCUUAGUGACCCACCUGAGGGUUGGAGAAGAUUUGGUAUGUAAGAGGCAACUCUGAUAUACCUGGCUACAGACAAGACUUUGCCUCUAUAUUUUUGCCCCAUGUACCAAAAUGGCACAAAUAUAAACAGUCCAGGGAGAGAGGCAAUAUGGCUUAGGGACAACUUCUCCAAGUGUUUAGGCGAUUGACCCGAGUCAAGAAGAGUACCCAAUUCUUUAACUUCUUGAGCAAAUGAUAAGAAGAUUUCUUCUGCUAGCCUAUAGGACACUGCAAUUGCUGGAUCGCCUUCCCGUGACGGUGUAUGAGUAGUAGUCUCAGUUGGCAGUUUUGAGAAAGGAAUCCCUGGAUAAAUAGGUCUCCAGCUUAAGCUACACCCCUUCUCUAAGAUCUCACGGGUAUAGGAGUUGCAUGACAGUGUUGGGUAGAACGCUUCUUCUGGAGCUCAUGACAGUGCAGUAUUGAGGCAAGGAGGUUGAAACCAUGUAUGAAUGCUGCUUGAAAAUGUAGCACAUGGUCACGUUGCAAUUUGGCAAAGUCUGCCAUGUAGUCAGUCAGUAGUGAACAUGACAUGGGUUGAUAUGAUGUUUAAGGACCCAGUGAGUCCAGAUCGGUCAUCCAAAGCUGUUGGCAGCCACUUGUCAGCAUUCCACCCAACACUAGGAACAUCAGGUAGAAUCACACCCUUGCCCUCAAGCAGGCAAGAUAAUAACUGCUUCAAGUUUGGGCCAACAGAUCUGAGGAGCUUAAACCAGUCACAUGCGGCUGUGAGGUCUUCAGCCAUCUUGCCUAGCUUUCCCUCUGAUAGGCCCGUAAUUGCUUCUUGGUUUAUCUUAACAAAUGUUUGUGAGCCUAUAUAACCCAGCAUCGUGGUUCUAGCUAAGUCUCCCCCUUUUAACCCAGGAUCGUGGUAGGCCUUAGGUUAACUGGUGUCUGGCUCUGUUUCUUUAACCACCCCGUAAUGAGAACUUUAAUGAGGCCUAAGCUAUAGGAUGUGCUUUUAUUUUUAGACGAUAUGCCUAGGAUAGGUUUUAGUAAAAUUUACAUUAAACAAAGGUAAUUUUUUUUAGCCAGUGAUGUUACUUUAAUAUUGAAUAAGUAGCUCAUUGCGAGAGUUAAAUUCUUGUGUUCUUUCAUGGAGGAAAAUAGCCAACAAUUGACACCACCAACAAAUGCGGAUCAGUCUCAUUUUAUAUACAUUCAGAGGAAUUGUUUUGCAUACAUACCCUUUGGUGCAUUUAAAAGUUGGGUUUUCUUUUCCCACUUUCUAAGAUGUACUGAUUCCUACCAAGCCUUUAAAUGGUUUUGUUAUCCUGUGCACUUCAUGAGGCCAACCUUACUUUGUAACUAAAAAGUAAUCCAGUUUAUGUACAACAAGCAUGUCAAACUCAAAGGCUAACACAGGCCAAAUAAACGAGGCAUGCGGCUCGCAGACCGUGGGUUUGACAUGCUUGAUGUUCACAGAAGUUUGAUAGCCUCUGAAUAGUUUGAUAAGAACAAUCAAAUUUGCUGGUAACAGUAAAAAAA